UACGAAGGGACCUAGCGUAGUUCGGAAUUACUGGGCUUAAAGAGUUCGUAGGUUGUUGAAAUAGUUGGUGGUGAAAUCCCAGAGCUUAACUCUGGAACUGCCAUCAAAACUUUUCAGCUAGAGUAUGAUAGAGGAAAGCAGAAUUUCUAGUGUAGAGGUGAAAUUCGUAGAUAUUAGAAAGAAUACCAAUUGCGAAGGCAGCUUUCUGGAUCAUUACUGACACUGAGGAACGAAAGCAUGGGUAGCGAAGAGG
rnacentral:rRNA from 1 species